GCAUAGAGCCUGGCUCAAGGAAUCAAGCCGACGGGGCGCUCGUGUCGCUCACCCCCGGGGCGGCACGGGCGGCGACAGCCUCGCCGGGGCUAACCGCUUCCCUCCUCCCUCUAGCCUUGCCGCCGCUCGAGCGGCCACCGGCAAAGCCGGCCGGCUGCCAGGACGGCGGCGGCAGGGCCAUCUCUUCUCUCCGCUCGCGCCGUUCGUCUGGGGUGCGUCGAAACCGAGCGGAGGCGGGCUGCGACGGCACGGACGUCGGCGGCCACGGCCGGCGCCGCUGGGGCUGGAUCCGGUGCCCCGGCGCCCAGAUAGAUACCGCGGAGGAGGCUGCAAGGCAAGGGCUGUGGCGGUGGCUGCGUCCGCUCGGCCGGCGAGGGGCGAGGCGAGGUGAGGUGAGGGCUGGCUGCGUCGGCUUGGCCGGCGCUCGGCGGGGAGCGUCGUCGCAGUGAAGGUUGCUUCAUCGUGCCCCGCAAACGGUGCAACAGCAGCAGCAGUGGGCCACGUCGGCGGCGCGCAACCUCCGGCGUGCUGCUGCGGCGCCGGGUGCUUUGGAGACGGCAGGACGUACGACGACGGCCGUGCAGGUGGGGCGGCUGUGGCGGCCUCGGUGGCGGCGGGGCGUAAGCGUCCGCUGCAUGCGUCGUGGCUGUCGCAGGGCGGCGGCGCUGUCCGCGUGACCGACGGUGCAUGGCAUCUGUGCGUGGCUGGGUUCCACGGCCGGGGUCACUGGAUCCGUGGCCGGCGUGCCCGGAUGUGGCUGUCCUCGGCGUGGUGGUGGCGGCGGUGGUCUGCUGACGGCGGCUGUUGGCGUGGAGCAGAACGGAACAGGUGUCCAUGGCAAUCUGUCUUCCUCGCUGCCGGCCGGGUUCUCUCCCUCUUUUCGAAUUUCCCUCCCUUCUAUGGCCGGACCUUGCUCUGGUUGUGGGGAACAUUCGAGGGUGGGCUGGGUCUCCGGCCUGUGCUAGGAGAUGGCAGCGGUUUGUUGGCACUACCGUAAGUUUGGCUGAGGUUUGAUUGCUUGUGAAGUGAUUUAGAUUGUUCUUUGGACGUCAGUGUGAAGGAUGCUUCUAUGGGGGGUGCGGAGACGCUGGCGAAAGCCUUGCUGUGCCUUGGGCCGGCUUGACAACGAUGACGCUUGUGGGCGCCGUUUCCCUCCCUAGAGGCGUUGUCGUAGCGUUCUCUCCCAUGUCCCGUAAUUUUCCAGGUGAAAACCUUGUUCCGAUCUUCGGACGAGCGGCGGUGGCGUUCCACGUCGUAUCCCUCUUGGGGGCAUCACUUCGGGGAAGCCACUCUGAGCAUCGACAACCAUUGGCGGUGUCUAGUGCUAGCUUGAAGGAAGUGGCUCUUUGGUGGCUUGGCUGAUGUCUUUUGUAGGUUGUUGAAGCUGCUAUUUGCUUGGUCGGCAUACUGGCAACAAUGUCGCUUGCGGCUGUGAAGUUGGCGCUGCUGGGUCACUUGGGCGGCUAGCUCGGCAAUGAUAACAUCUCUUUUGCGAGGUUGGAGCUGUUUGUGUCGUCUUGUGCUUAGCGCGGUUGAGGCAUCUUAUGUUAGGCUCCGCUGUUGUGGUUGGUUGUGUAGUAGGCCUCAUGUCUUCUGUGUGAAGGUUUUGCCGGUUCUCCUUAAUUAACCGUGCAUUUGUAAGGUUUUCGGGCCCGGUUUACCUAUAAACUGGGUCAAUUCUCUUCUUCUUAAUAUAAAAGCGGAACUUUUUACG